UACGUAGGGUGCGAGCGUUAAUCGGAAUUACUGGGCGUAAAGCGUGCGCAGGCGGUUUUGCAAGCCGGAUGUGAAAUCCCCGGGCUUAACCUGGGAAUGGCAUUCGGGACUGCAAGGCUGGAGUGCGGCAGAGGAGACUGGAAUUCCUGGUGUAGCAGUGAAAUGCGUAGAUAUCAGGAGGAAUACCGAUGGCGAAGGCAGGUCUCUGGGCUGACACUGACGCUCAUGCACGAAAGCGUGGGGAGCAAAC
rnacentral:rRNA from 1 species